AUUUGGCUUAGUUAGGAGGCAGAAAUCGAUUCUAAAAACCAGCGAUAUCGGGUUCCCGAUGUUUCUGGUGAGUUUAACUCGGGCCUCUUGACGGGGACUAUGGGUUUUCUUUCUUCUUCCAUUGUCCCACAAGAAGCCAUGGACAUUU